rnacentral:rRNA from 1 species
GGCUCAGGACGAACGCUGGCGGCGUGCCUAACACAUGCAAGUCGAGCGGAGUUAACAAGAGGAAGUUUCGGAUGGAAUUUGUAAUUAGCGGCGGACGGGUGAGUAACGCGUGAGCGACCAACCUUGCACAGGGGGAUAACGGACCGAAAGGUUCACUAAUACCGCAUGAGACCACGGUGUUGCAUGACACAGAGGUCAAAGGAGCAAUCCGGUGCAAGACGGGCUCGCGUCCGAUUAGGUAGUUGGUGGGGUAAUGGCCCACCAAGCCUAUGAUCGGUAGCCGACCUGAGAGGGUGAUCGGCCACAUUGGAACUGAGAUACGGUCCAAACUCCUACGGGAGGCAGCAGGUGGGGAAUAUUGGGGACCAAGUACGGGGGAAACCCUCGACCCAGCAACGCCGCGUGAAGGAAGUAAGGUUUUCGGAUUAGUAAACUUCUGUCCUUGGUGAAGAGAAGAAGACGGUAGCCAAGGAGGAACGCCCCGGCUAACUACGUGCCAGCCGCCGC